rnacentral:rRNA from 1 species
GCGCAGCCUGAUCCAGCCAUGCCGCGUGUGUGAAGAAGGCCUUUUGGUUGUAAAGCACUUUAAGCGAGGAGGAGGCUACUUGGAUUAAUACUCUAGGAUAGUGGACGUUACUCGCAGAAUAAGCACCGGCUAACUCUGUGCCAGCAGCCGCGGUAAUACAGAGGGUGCGAGCGUUAAUCGGAUUUACUGGGCGUAAAGCGUGCGUAGGCGGCUUUUUAAGUCGGAUGUGAAAUCCCUGAGCUUAACUUAGGAAUUGCAUUCGAUACUGGGAAGCUAGAGUAUGGGAGAGGAUGGUAGAAUUCCAGGUGUAGCGGUGAAAUGCGUAGAGAUCUGGAGGAAUACCGAUGGCGAAGGCAGCCAUCUGGCCUAAUACUGACGCUGAGGUACGAAAGCAUGGGGAGCAAACAGGAUUAGAUACCCUGGUAGUCCAUGCCGUAAACGAUGUCUACUAGCCGUUGGGGCCUUUGAGGCUUUAGUGGCGCAGCUAACGCGAUAAGUAGACCGCCUGGGGAGUACGGUCGCAAGACUAAAACUCAAAUG